GACGAACCGUCCUAACGUUGUUCGGAAUCACUGGGCUUAAAGGGCGCGUAGGCGGGCGACCAAGUCCGGGGUGAAAUCUUUCGGCUUAACCGGAAAAUAGCCUUGGAUACUGGUUGUCUCGAGGGAGGUAGGGGCCGUUGGAACUUCCGGUGGAGCGGUGAAAUGCGUUGAUAUCGGAAGGAACGCCGGUGGCGAAAGCGAACGGCUGGACCUCUUCUGACGCUGAGACGCGAAAGCUAGGGGAGCAAACGGG
rnacentral:rRNA from 1 species